rnacentral:snRNA from 1 species
AUCGCUUCUCGGCCUUUUGGCUAAGAUCAAGUGUAGUAUCUGUUCUUAUCAGUUUAAUAUCUGAUACGUCCUCUAUCCGAGGACAAUAUAUUAAGUGGAUUUUUGGAAGUAGGAGUUGGAAUAGGAGCUUGCUCCGUCAACUCCACGCAUCGACCUGGUAUUGCAGUACCUCCAGGAACGGUGCACCCCCU